CCUACGGGGGGCAGCAGUGGGGAAUAUUGGACAAUGGGGGGAACCCUGAUCCAGCCAUGCCGCGUGUGUGAAGAAGGCCCUCGGGUUGUAAAGCACUUUCAGUGAGGAAGAACGCCUGGUGGUUAAUACCCAUCAGGAAAGACAUCACUCACAGCAGAAGCACCGGCUAACUCCGUGCCAGCAGCCGCGGUAAUACGGAGGGUGCGAGCGUUAAUCGGAAUUACUGGGCGUAAAGCGCGCGUAGGUGGCUUGAUAAGCCGGUUGUGAAAGCCCCGGGCUCAACCUGGGAACGGCAUCCGGAACUGUCAAGCUAGAGUGCAGGAGAGGAAGGUAGAAUUCCCGGUGUAGCGGUGAAAUGCGUAGAGAUCGGGAGGAAUACCAGUGGCGAAGGCGGCCUUCUGGACUGACACUGACACUGAGGUGCGAAAGCGUGGGUAGCAAACAGGAUUAGAUACCCGAGUAGUC
rnacentral:rRNA from 1 species